UCUCAGACCAGAGGAGGAAU
rnacentral:piRNA from 2 species